rnacentral:rRNA from 1 species
UACGUAGGGUGCGAGCGUUAAUCGGAAUUAUUGGGCGUAAAGCGCGUGUAGGCGGCUUAGCAAGUCGGGCGUGAAAGCCCUCGGCUCAACCGAGGAAGUGCACCCGAAACUGCUGAGCUUGAGUGCCGGAGAGGAUGGCGGAAUUCCCCAAGUAGAGGUGAAAUUCGUAGAUAUAGGGAGGAACACCGGUGGCGAAGGCGGCCAUCUGGACGGUAACUGACGCUGAGACGCGAAAGCGUGGGGAGCAAACAGG